AUUGAACGCUGGCGGCAUGCCUUACACAUGCAAGUCGAACGGCAGCACGGGUGCUUGCACCUGGUGGCGAGUGGCGAACGGGUGAGUAAUACAUCGGAACGUACCUUAUCGUGGGGGAUAACGCAGCGAAAGCUGUGCUAAUACCGCAUACGCCCUGAGGGGGAAAGCGGGGGAUCGCAAGACCUCGCGCGAUUAGAGCGGCCGAUGCCUGAUUAGCUUGUUGGUGGGGUAAAAGCCCACCAAGGCGACGAUCAGUAGCUGGUCUGAGAGGACGAUCAGCCACACUGGGACUGAGACACGGCCCAGACUCCUACGGGAGGCAGCAGUGGGGAAUUUUGGACAAUGGGGGCAACCCUGAUCCAGCAAUGCCGCGUGAGUGAAGAAGGCCUUCGGGUUGUAAAGCUCUUUUGUCAGGGAAGAAACACCGGCUCUAACACAGUCUGGGAAUGACGGUACCUGAAGAAUAAGCACCGGCUAACUACGUGCCAGCAGCCGCCGCGG
rnacentral:rRNA from 1 species